ACCUGGCUGGCUCAGUCAGUAGAGCAUGUGACUCUUGAGCUCAGGGUUGUGAGUUCAAGCCCCAUGUUGGGCG
rfam:Felis catus isolate Cinnamon breed Abyssinian chromosome D1, whole genome shotgun sequence.